UAUCCUGAGAUGGAAGAGGGCUCAGGGAAGGCCAUGAGUGACUGUGAGCAAAUGUGUUGGUAAGAUACAUGAGAGAGAUUAGCAGGUACUGGAGAAAAAAAAAAAAAGUGUUUUAGGAAGAGAAGGUAACAACCAACAGAGAGGAUGAUUCCUAAGAAGCAUUCCUGACUCCUCAUUUCAAACGAGCUUUCUAAGGCAAGAUCUAAGUCACUCCUGGGUGUUUGAAAAUAUGCCUUUCAGCAUACCCCCUUCCUGUGACACAACCAUACAGAUAAGGAGGAAUUCACUUGUGGAUAUGACAGUCGUCUGCUGUCCACUAAAACACUGGGAAUUCAGGGUCAGUAAGCUAUGUGGAGCCUGCAGUUUGGUUUUCCCAUCCUUCAGAAAGUCCUCCUAUCCUGAUGAAACCCACAUAUUUCUUGGCAUAUUUCUUGGCAUAUAUUCUUGGAGGGACUGACCUACCCUUGAAGUUGGAGACAUCGAAGACACUUCUAGUACCUGAUGACCAUAGGAUUUCCAGGAAAGGAUGGGCAAAGAUUUUCAUUUAUCCUAAUUCUAAGCUUCCCAGUGUCCCACCCAUUCCUAGCUCCUUCAUCCCCUAUAGCAUUCUUUUCAUUCUCCAAGCUCAGUUCACAUAGCCACGUGUCCCUUCCAAAUGGGAGAGGUAUUUAUGUUCUAUGCUUAGUUUUAAAAGUCUUGGUCCUCCCCUACCCAACUGACCAGGAACUCUGUGCAUGUGUUGGACAGGCAAGCAAGUCAGUGGGAGAAGCCAGUAGAAUGUAGAAACCACUAGCCUCAGAGGAAUAAUGUAGCCUGAACAGAAUAGGGCAAGGUUUACUUUAUCACUCCUACAUCUAAAGAUUAUAGACCAUAUUUCAUACUCUCAAACAAGAGUAAUUUCUAUGGUUUUAAUCAUAAUUAUCUCAAGUAUUUAACAUCUCUUUUCUAGAACAUUACAUUAAACUAUCAGAAAAUAUACAAUUAAGAACAAACUACCAUCACUGGAAAUCAAGAAGGAAAGUCAGCUAUGUAAACACCUCUAUGCAGUGUAUUCAUCCUGAACAGAUGGGCGUUGUUGGAACAAAAUUCAGGGGCUACCCAGAGGCAGUGACCACAAAGGGGAGACCUGUGGAGGUACAGGGCCCAGCUCCAUGAAGACAAGGAGGAUGAGGUUAGUCCUCUCCCAAGGACUGAGGUCUGCAGAAUCCCAGGGCCAGGGAGGGCGUGGCAUCCUGGGGCUGCGUUGAGGGCCAGGAUGGGUGAUGGGAGGCGAAGGGUGAGAGUCCACGUCCUGAGUGGGGACCUGUCACAGCACGAGGCAGGAGACGGUAAAGAGACCAAAUGCGGAAAGGUUGGCAGGGACCUUUGAGUGCUUUUAAGCAGGAAAGGAAAUGACCCAAACUCUGCUGCCUGGCCUCCGUGCGUUUCAGGAUGAGGCAUUCUCCCUGAGGGCGGGACAAGGGGGUGCAGUGCCUGUGACAACUGCAGGGACCCACAGACCCAGGGGUUAGACACUUCAGACACGCCUCUUGUCAUAGGAGUCAAGCAGUAUACUUCUGCCUCUACAAAUUGUCCAUUCCCCCAACCCGCCUGCCAUGUCAAAGCUCCUGUGUUCAUGUUUACAUGCAGUGGGUGUCUGAGUGACGACAGUGUCUCCCCACCACAUCUCUGAGACUCUAUUUCCUUAUGUGGGAAUAAAGUCCAAUGAAAGCUGAAGGGUAAAAGGAAGUGACAGUGCUUUGAAGUAUAAUUUAAUUGGUUUUCUUUACUGUUACUAGAAUUAAAUUUUUUUUCCAGGUAUUCCUUUGCAAAGCCCCCUCAUUAAAGAACUACUCCUUUGUAGGGAGAGAUUCAGCCAUACCUAACACAUCUUGGUGAGAGUCAGUCGGAUGGCCUGAAAAAGAUACGGCCUCUCUAAAACAUAAUUCAGUGCACAUAAGGGAACCUAUUUCCACAUUCCUGGGGUGGCGGGGGAACUUUCCUCCUCAAGGUACCCCUGGUCCUAGUACAUGUGACCAUCAAGUGACCUGAGGGUACUCACAUGUUAGGGACCCUCAGCUUGAGAUGUUUGCUGUGAGUUAAAGUACAGAACCCUGGUGAAAUGAAGCAGUUCAUAUGUUUGGUUUAGACAGAUACAAUAAGGGAGAUUCCAAUUCCCCUUCAUGGGGACAUGAGCACAUUAGGGGAGUUAGUGAAUAGGGUGUUUCCCAGUGUUGAAAAUGUUUGCAAGGCUUUUGUCCUACUGAGAUUCUGCUGAGAUCAUCAGGAUGCUUAUGCAGCAACUCUUGUCUCAUUUUUUUCAUGAUGAAUUGUAUGUUUAUUUUAAUAUUCUAACGAUGCCAUGUUGGAAGUGAAGAAAACACAGCCAUCCAGGAGUGGAAAGUGGGGAAUGAAGAACAUAAACACAAUGAGUGUUGGCUGAUAACCUUCACAUCCAGCCUCAGAUACACACUUUAGAGGUCCCAGAGCUCCCAUCAUAGGGAAUCCCAAGUCAUUUCCAAAGACAGACCUUCAUGAACAGGGCAACACAGAAAUACCCACAUACCCCAUAUUGCUGUGGUUCUCCACCACCACAUCUGUCCAGGGGUCUCUGAGAAAGGAUCAGAAUGUCUAGUUCUUUGUGAGGGAAGUUCACAGUCAAUAUUUGAAGUUGGCUCCUUCAUACUCAAUCAGGAGCCCUUUCCUUCUACUAUUCGUAGAGGAAGAAUGAGUUUUCCAGAUGAAGGAAAGAAUGGUGGAUGGCUUUUGAGUCAUCUUAAGUGUCAUAAUUCCAAAAAGCAUGUACUGGGUUCUGAGUCUUUCCUGUUGUGGAUGUUAGGCCACUGUUUCUCAUAAGAUGCCUUCCUGUCAGAAUGAGUACUGAGGACUAAGGGCAGCUGGGGGUGUGGGGAUCAACAGGCCCUGAGAGCCGAGUCUUUAGUAACCUCACCUUUACUCAAGGUCCCUGCAGCGCCCACUCCUGUGCACAGGGUACCAACUUGCCUCCACAGAACCAGACACUACCCCAGAGACAGGCUCCCCACAGCACCUGUCUGACUGCGGUUCCUGCUCAACAGGCUGCACACGUGGGGAGGAUCUCCAAUUAGCACUCUCCCCUCACAGGUUCAGUAUCUGCAGCAGCAACCUGGUUCUUUCCCUGACUCUAGACUCUAGACCCCUGGACCAGUGACAAGGUCUCAGAACACAGCAGAAUUUGUAGCACAGUAUCAUUCUUCCACCAACUCUGAAAUUUCCCCUAGAUGUCCUUGCUUGCCUUCCACCCCCCAUUUCCACUUCUUCCUUCCUUGCAUGCAAUGAAUAUUACUAACUGCCAGGAUGUUGAGGAUUAAAUUACAUAAUGUAUCGAGGUCCCCAGCACAGUGCCUUGUACACAUUGGAGCCUAACAAACCUGAGAGCACACAGGAGAUGCUCAGUAAAGCUUGUUUUAGUGAAUUGAUGCAUGUUGUUUCUCAAAUACUGUCUUGCUCAGACACUGCUGAUUUCUCUGUUCUCUCAAUUUGAUAAGGUCAACAAAUAAUAUAAUUUGGGGGAGGGGGAGGUAAUGGGUGAUAUUGCUGGAACCAAAUCUGUUUGUGCUUAGAAAUGAUGUUGUGACCCAGCAUUUCCAUUUUUAAGUUAAAAAUAAAAUUUUGGGGGUUUCCCUGGUGACGCAGUGGUUAAGAAUCCGCCUGCCAAUGCAGGGGACACGGGUUCGAGCCCAGGUCCGGGAAGAUCCCACAUGCCGCAGAGCAACCAAGCCCAUGUGCCAGAACUACUGAGCCUGCGCUCUAGAGCCCACCAGCCACAACUGCUGAGCCUACAUGCCACAACUACUUAAGCCCGCACACCUAGAGCCCAUGCUCCGCAACAAGAGAAGCCACUGCAAUGAGAAGUGGGCACCGCAACAAAGAGUAGCCCCCGCUCGCCACAACUAGAGAAAGCCCUCAUGCAGCAACGAAGACCCAACGCAGCCAAAAAUAAAUUUAUAAAAUAAAAUAAAAUUUCAUCGGUCCCUCCCAAACUUCCUGAAUCAUAAUUUCCUAAUGUUGAACCCCUGAUCUCCAAGAGAUUUGCAUGUAUAUUACAGCUUAAAAAUCAAUAUUGACUUAAAUAAUUCUCAACACUGCUUUCCCAUUGGGAAACCUUAGGUAAUUGUAAGAAAUACCAUCACUCCAGAAAUUAUUUCAGUUGUUCUGAGGAUGAGCCUAGCAUCAAUACUAUUUUAACAAAACCUUCAUGACCCCUUUAUUUGCAGAUCAAAGAACAUUUAUUAACCCUCAGGUGAUUCAAAUAUCAGGUUGCUAUCUAUAUUAGAUCUUAAAAUUCUUUGACUCUUGUGGUCAUCAGAGGAUUCCAGAAAGGAGAAGUUUUUCUGUGCUUCUCUAGACUUUCAAUUGCCAGAAAUUAAGACCCACGACACUCUGUUUCUGUUGUCGUUGUUUCAAAAUUCAUGACACAGUGAUGAGGCAGGAGUACCGCUAUCGCCACUGCUGGAAAUGAAGAUGCAAAAAGGUUGUCUUAGGCUGCUCUGAGCCCCUGACUCUAAGCUAAAUCCCCAAGGAUGUCCCGGAACAGGUGGUACUAGAAUGGAAAGCAGGAAGACAGCAACACACCAGCAGGAACAAACGUAAAAUUUUCUCAACACACCAGCAGGAACAAACGUAAAAUUUUCUAAGUCCUCCAGGAAGCCCUGCAAGGUUCGUGUAGGCAUGUGUUACCCUCUGCUGGCCUGGGCACAUUGAAAAUGGGAUCUACCAACAGCCCCUCUGAGAUAUGAAAACCAAGAUGUCAGACCUCAAAGGAGCUGAUCAGAGCAGAAGGUAGAAGGGCACCCAGAUGGCAAGGGCUGAGACUGUGCUGGACAUAUAAGGUAUGUUGUAGGUGAGGCUUCUCCUUGCUGGGUACGGAUCUGGUUCCUGUCUUUGUAGAGGUUGGCGUAACUCCAGUGUCCAGGGAUGGGCAAACCCUGGACCAAGGCCUCUUUUCCUCUCUCUGGUAGUUCUCUUCUCCUAAGUGUCUCACAAGUUCCCAGGUUCUCCCAUGCUCUCCUCAGGUUGGUUUUCUUUUCCCUCCUGAUGUUCGUCUUUGCCUUGCAGAGCAAGUUUCCUAGCACAAACCUAGAACUAAGACUUCAAACUACCCAAUGGGCCCAAUGUCAUUAUCUUGUUAUUCAGUUAGAGAUGUCUGUAUUCUUUUAUCUCCUUAGGUGUAUUAUUAUUAUACUUCCUCAUAUUAAUGUCAUAAGGAUAAUAAUCACUAUAGUUAUUUAUUAUUAAGUUUCUUAUUAUGGAUUUUCGUGUGUGGUUAUAGCUACACAGCAUUGACUAGUGAUUCUCUACUUAAGAAAGAUGUCUGAUUUUCAGAAGAUGAUUGCCAAGGGUUCUCAAACAGACACACAUUCACAGUCUCCCAUGCUCCUUGCCAUACCACUUAGUAUCUUUUCAAUAAGCAAAACCCUUAUUUUUCAAUUCCAGCUCCAGAAGCAGGGACAAACCUGUGAGUAGGUGAGUUCCAGAUGAGGAUUCCAUUGAUCUUAGUGAGGCCCUGCUCACUUUACAACAGCUCUUCAGGGACCAGGAAUCUCUUUUUCCAUCUGAAGAGACCCAGGGAAGUAGUCCUUGACCUGCUAGAGAAACCACAAAGAUUUACCUAGGAACAAGGAGGUGUGUUGAAACUCCUGCAGAGAGGACCAUGAGAAGGGUGCACAGAUCUCACACCCAGGCCUGAAAGAUGGGGAACUGCCUCAAAUCCAGCAUCUUGGAUGACAGCUCUGUUCCUGAGUCUCCAUCCCGCUGGGUGGGCCCAGGCGGGAGGAGACGCUGGGAUCAGGAACCACAUCCGGAACAAGUUCCAAAUCCCAUCCAUCUUCCAACACCCAGCUCGCUUCACCAAGCAGCACAGCUGAUGGAAGAGGAACAAGUGAGGUUAGCUCAAAGAAUCAGCUUUAAAGAGCACCUGCCUCAAGGAGUGUACAGAACAGAUGGAUUUGAAGAAAAGAUCCAGGAGGAGUGUGUGAUUUGUUGGUUGGAGUUUGUGCGUGGGGACUCCAUCAGAUUUCUGCCCUGCGCACACUUCUAUCACCUGAACUGCAUCAAUGAGUGGUUGACCAGGUCCUUCACCUGCCCCUACUGUCGCAGGCCCAUGGAUGUCACACAGCCUUCAUCCCAGGACAUUAAUUGAGCCAGGAUCCCUUGUUUGAUUUCAAGUGUCCCAUCAUUUUUAGUGAUUUUGAUAUUUUGUCAUCGUGUCUAAGUAGCCAGGGAUUAGGAAUUAAAAUCAUGCACAAAGAUUUCCUAAAAAUUCCUGUCAUGUUGCAGAUGAUGGCAAACAAUUUAUAAUGUUUUAGAAACUUAGGGAGAUAAUAGCAUGUAAAGCCUUGACCAAGUGUUCAGAAGUGUAAUUAUAUCUUAGCAUUUUUCCAGUACAUGGGAUGUGUACCAUGUUGCAGCAGCUAUACAUGUUGUAUUGUGUCUGUUGAAGAUUAGGGAAAAGAAAGUGGUUACUUUUCCUAAGUGAUAUAACUUUCUUCUCCCCAAUCCAAACUGGCAUUUGGACCAAGGUUUUAUGAAAAACUACAAUUUAUACAACUGAACUAAAAUGAAAUCCAAUUAUAUAUGAGUGAAUAAAUGAAGAAUCUUAUUUUCAAAUAACCCUCCUAAAUGGUCUUAUCUUUUUUUUCUCCAUCAUUUUGAGACAUUUAACUUUUUGUCUUGUAAGUCCAACCAAGGGGAACAGUGUCCCAGGGAAGAACAGUCGUGAGUAGGUUUAUUAGCUGUGUA